rnacentral:rRNA from 1 species
CCUACGGGAGGCAGCAGUGGGGAAUUUUGGACAAUGGGCGCAAGCCUGAUCCAGCCAUUCCGCGUGCAGGAUGAAGGCCCUCGGGUUGUAAACUGCUUUUGUACGGAACGAAACGCGCUGAGUUAAUACCUCGGCGUAAUGACGGUACCGUAAGAAUAAGCACCGGCUAACUACGUGCCAGCAGCCGCGGUAAU